rnacentral:rRNA from 1 species
GAUGAACGCUGGCGGCGUGCCUAAUACAUGCAAGUCGAGCGAACGGACGAGAAGCUUGCUUUUCUGAUGUUAGCGGCGGACGGGUGAGUAACACGUGGAUAACCUACCUAUAAGACUGGGAUAACUUCGGGAAACCGGAGCUAAUACCGGAUAAUAUUUUGAACCGCUUGGUUCAAAAGUGAAAGACGGUCUUGCUGUCACUUAUAGAUGGAUCCGCGCUGCAUUAGCUAGUUGGUAAGGUAACGGCUUACCAAGGCAACGAUGCAUAGCCGACCUGAGAGGGUGAUCAGCCACACUGGAGCUGAGACACGGUCCAGACUCCUACGGGAGGCAGCAGUAGGGAAUCUUCCGCGAUGGGCGAAAGCCUGACGGAGCAACGCCGCGUGAUUGAUGAAGGUCUUCGGAUCGUAAAACUCUGUUAUUAGGGAAGAACAUAUGUGUAAGUAACUGUGCACAUCUUGACGGUACCUAAUCAGAAAGCCACGGCUAACUACGUG